rnacentral:rRNA from 1 species
UACGGGGGGAGCAAGCGUUGUUCGGAUUUACUGGGCGUAAAGGGCGCGUAGGCGGCCAGCACAAGUCAGUUGUGAAAUCUCCGGGCUUAACUCGGAAAGGUCAACUGAUACUGUGCGGCUAGAGUGCAGAAGGGGCAACUGGAAUUCUCGGUGUAGCGGUGAAAUGCGUAGAUAUCGAGAGGAACACCUGCGGCGAAGGCGGGUUGCUGGGCUGACACUGACGCUGAGGCGCGAAAGCUAGGGGAGCGAACAGG